GGAGGAUCCAAGCGUUAUCCGGAUUCACUGGGUGUAAAGGGCGAGUAGACGGCGCNGUAAGUCAGCNGUGAAAACNUAGGGCUCAACCUNAAGCCUGCAGCNGAAACUGUGGUGCUAGAGUGCAGGAGAGGUAAGCGGAAUUCCUAGUGUAGCGGUGAAAUGCGUAGAUAUUAGGAGGAACACCAGUGGCGAAGGCGGCUUACUGGACUGUAACUGACGUUGAGGCGCGAAAGUGUGGGGAGCAAACAGGAUUAGAUACCCUGGUAGUCCACACCGUAAACGAUGGAUACUAGGUGUAGGCGAGAUAUCGUCUGUGCCGGCGCAAACGCAAUAAGUAUCCCACCUGGGGAGU
rnacentral:rRNA from 1 species